CAUACUGGGAUGUCCAAUAGUGAAGAAAAGGAAACUGGAGGAGGCUGAAGCUGAGGAGAACCAGUCUGCUCCCAAGAGGAGGAACCAGCCGGCCACAGAAGCAGGAGAUGAAGGCUUCAAUGCUGACAGUGACGCCGCAGAAGAGGAGGAAGUACAGAAGGAGGAGGAAGACGACUACAAUCUCAAAGAGAAGAAGAAAAAACAAAACAAAGGGCAGCCCAGAGUCAACACAAACAGAUGCUGUGGACUGCUCACUUGAGACAACAGAGGACAUAGUGGGUCCUCCGGCUGAAGUUGAAGACAACGAAAGCUUCACUUUGGAGACCGAGAACGAAACAGUAACAGAGACAACUACCGAGGAAGUGAAGCCGGCGACAGACAGCGAGCAGCAUCAGCAGGAUGAAACAGAGGAGGAGCAGGAAGAGGAAGGCCAGCUGCUGAUCAAGGACCAGUCAUCAGAGCUACCUGAAGAAGCAAGAGGACUUGCAGGGACAAAAGAAGAGGAGGAAGAGGAAGUAGAUGAAGAAAAGGAAGCGGUUGAGCAGCAGAAAAGGCAAGAGGGUAUCGUACAAGAAAAAGUGACAGAAAGACAUAUGAUGAGUCAGGAAAACUCUGAUCACCAGUACUCCAGUGGGGAUUAUAACCACCAGGCCAAAGAAUCAGCAAAGGACCAGAGUGUGAGGGAGGAACCGGAGGAGGACGAAAAUGAGGACAAAGAGGACGAGGAGGAGGAGGAGGAGGAGGUGGGAGAGGAAGAGGAGAGGGAGGUCCACCAAGAGAUUCACAGUCCUUCCACAUUGAGUCCACAAACUCAGGGAUCUGAGGCUGAGAUGUCACUCAGGGAAGAAAAAAUCUGCACUCCUAUGAUUGAGGAGGAGGACGAUGAAGAUGAAAGAGAGGAAGAGGAGGAGGAGGGGCUGGGGAAGGACGUAGAGGAGGUGGUGGAGGAGGAAGAGGAGGACCGAGACUCUAGCAAAGCCUCUCCGACAACAGUGGUUAUAGAAGUCCGCUCAGAGGAGGAGGAUGACCAGGACGAUGAAGAGGAGGAAGAGGAAGAGGAAGAGGACGAUGACGUGGACGAGGACGAGGACGAGGAGGAGGAGUAUGAAGGAGAGGAGCAGGAUCGUGUCUCAGAGGGCUCAGGAAUCACAGACGACUCAGAGAACUGGGAUAUGACUCGAGGGAACCUGGGGCUGCUGGAGCAGGCCAUCGCCCUGAAGGCGGAGGAGGUGAAGGGGGGGGCAGGAGGCCGGGAGCUCCCCGGACUACCAACCAUACAGCACUUCCAGCAAGGGCUCCGAGCCUGCUUCUCUAGCCCGCCGCACUGCUCACUACAGCAAAGAGAAGAAGGAGGUGAAGUGUCCAACCCCAGGGUGUGA
ensembl:lncRNA